ensembl:lncRNA
CUCACUGUGGCUUUUAGUGUCCUUCAUCUUUGUACUUGAGGGCUCGAUGCAGUGGUACUUCUGAAUUAGAAACUAAGACUGGUCAUUGGGUUCUUCAUGCCAGGGGAAAAUGGCAGAAAAGUGGGAUACUAUAUAGCUAGGGUGACUAACCAUGCCUAGUAAGAAUACUAUGAUUACUGCUGUGCAGUUAGGGAUCCACUAAGUUCCUAUCAUAUUCCUCCUUUCUUUUAUGUUCUUGGUGGAAAAGGUUAGUGGGAGACCGUUGUCCCUAUGUAGGUAAGACCACUAAGAAUGGAGGCCAUUCAAGAAUCAAGGUUCAGGCUACCCAUCAGGGACAUAGCUAAGGGACUAGCAGAAGGCAAGGAGAUCACAGAAUGGGCAUAAAUACCAGCUCUGGCUUCAGGAGAAGUGGCAGAUAGGAAGAAUAUGGCCUGUUUCCUUGAUUGUUGUGACAUGACUUAGAAAAAAGCAUCUUCUAUCCAUAUUGUUUGUAAAGUGUGUUGUUGAUGGUUAAGUAUUCCUUUUGGACUAUAGACUGAAGCAGAAUUUGAGGGGGAAUAAAUAUUAUCCAAAGUAGAACUCCUCAAAGUGGGGAACUGCAGGCUGGUGCCAGUGUUUGAACUGUUUAUUAUUGGUUCAUGAUGCAAGAAGUAUAGAAAUAGAGUUUUUAAAAUUACUCUGUUACAUUGCUCUCAAGGUUUCUGUGCCUACUGUAUAUAAUAAUAAAAAAAAUCAAGUGCUUCAUUUUAUGUUUAAUUUCAUUUAUCUAGCAAUUCAUCUUUAUUGCAUUUUCCCAGUGAAUUUGUCCAUGACAGAUUAGAAACAAAAAUUUACUGUUCCUUUACUAUAGAUGGUUUGAGAAAUGCUGAUCUUGUUGAGCAGUGUCCUUGUGAAAUCUAUUAUUACUCCUGGAUGCAGCAGCUUGUGUAACUUGGACUGCUUCCCACAGAGAAGGAGUGUAAUUAGUAUGACCUCCACACGACAUGAAGGCACAGGCAGUGCUAUCUGUCAUUCUCACCCUUGCACCACCUCUAAGUGGAUUUCACAGUGAGUUCCUUUAUAAUGUAACCAAGUGUUAGUUAUUUGUACAACUAGAUAGGAACGUGAGCACACAAUGCAAGGUGAUGGUUUCCUCUGUUGCCAUAGUGUUGUGAACCUUUCUAAAAGAUCACUUAAAGAGAAAUAGGAAACAGACUGGAGAUCCUGGAUGAAGAUUAAAAAUGAUAUUUCUCCUGUCUACUCUAAGGCUUUUUCUGUUAUCUGCUACCAGAUAUAAAAUCACUAGAAAGGCAAGUUUGAUUGACUGAUGAUUGAUUUUUUUUUUUUUUUUCCAAGGGUAAGCUUGGUACUUAGCACUUAACAGCAGGCAUUAUCCACUUUUCUUGGUCCUGUCAUGGGCAUUUUUAAAUUAUCCAAUGAAAUAUUAGAGGUGUUUAGUAGAACAAUUUGGGAGGUUGACAUAAACCACUCCUUUUCUUUCCCAUCUUUCCAUGUCUUUCAGCAUAAUACCACCACAUCCCUCUAGCUCUUUGUACAGAAAUAAACUAAAUCUGAGGGAGAGAAGUGGGACA